rfam:Ascochyta rabiei strain ArDII scaffold_105, whole genome shotgun sequence.
GUCCCGCGGGUACCGGACUUCCGACAGAGCAUUCCAGGGACGAGGACGGGGGACCCAAAGUCCUCUGUGAGAACAGAAAAGUUCUCCAGUGGACACCGGUUCGAUCGCAAGACCGAAUCUUGGGGUGAAGCCAGACCCUUUCCAGCCAGGAAAGGCGAGGCCGGGCGACCUCUCAGCCCGAACCCGACAGCUGACCUCGCAGGCGCGUGUGGAGAGGAUUU